rnacentral:lncRNA from 1 species
UUAAAAGGGUUUUCUCUGGCGGAGCUUUGAUACCAUGGAUGGAGAAGACUUCCCAUCCCCUGUCAACUCAGACGCAGUUAAAAAAUACUUCGCAUAAAAUAGACCCGCUGGACAGUAAAAAGAAGAGUCCAGGCAAAAAAGGGCAUCCAGACGAACCAAAAAAAAGGAAUGAAAAGGUUCGGGCAAAAAUUAGGGAUAUAAAAA